rnacentral:rRNA from 1 species
GACGAACGCUGGCGGCGUGCUUAACACAUGCAAGUCGAGCGGAAAGGCCCUUCGGGGUACUCGAGCGGCGAACGGGUGAGUAACACGUGAGUAACCUGCCCCUGACUCUGGGAUAAGCCUGGGAAACUGGGUCUAAUACCGGAUAUGACUGCGGCCGGCAUCGGUUGUGGUGGAAAGUUUUUUCGGUUGGGGAUGGGCUC